rnacentral:rRNA from 1 species
AACGAACGCUGGCGGCAGGCCUAACACAUGCAAGUCGAGCGAGGACUUCGGUCCUAGCGGCGGACGGGUGAGUAACGCGUGGGAACGUGCCCUUUGCUUCGGAAUAGCCCUGGGAAACUGGGAGUAAUACCGGAUGAGCCCUUUGGGGGAAAGAUUUAUCGGCGAAGGAUCGGCCCGCGUUGGAUUAGGUAGUUGGUAGGGUAAUGGCCUACCAAGCCGACGAUCCAUAGCUGGUUUGAGAGGAUGAUCAGCCACACUGGGACUGAGACACGGCCCAGACUCCUACGGGAGGCAGCAGUGGGGAAUCUUAGAAAAUGGGGGAAACCCUGAUCUAGCCAUGCCGGGUGAGCGAUGAAGGCCUUAGGGUUGUAAAGCUCUUUCAGCUGGGAAGAUAAUGACGGUACCAGCAGAAGAAGCCCCGGCUAACUCCGUG